rnacentral:rRNA from 1 species
AAGCGGAGGAAAAGAAACUAACAAGGAUUCCCCUAGUAACGGCGAGUGAAGAGGGAAAAGCUCAAAUUUAAAAUCUGGCGGUCUACGGCCGUCCGAGUUGUAAUCUAGAGAAGUGUUUUCCGCGCUGGACCGUGUACAAGUCCUUUGGAACAAGGCGUCAUAGAGGGUGAGAAUCCCGUCUACGACACGGACUGCCAAGCGCUUUGUGAUACACUCUCAACGAGUCGAGUUGUUUGGGAAUGCAGCUCAAAAUGGGUGGUAAAUUCCAUCUAAAGCUAAAUAUGGGCGAAAGACCGAUAGCGAACAAGUACCGUGAGGGAAAGAUGAAAAGCACUUUGGAAAGAGAGUUAAACAGUACGUGAAAUUGUUGAAAGGGAAACGCUUGAAGUCAGUCGCGUCUUCAGAAAUUCAGCUGGGCUUCUGCCCUGUGUACUUUUCUGUGGGACGGGCCAGCAUCAGUUUCGGCUGCCAGAAAAAGGUGGGAGGAAGGUGGCACCUCCGGGUGUGUUAUAGCCUCCGAUCGUAUGUGGCAGCUGGGACUGAGGACCGCAGCACGCCUUCAUGGCCGGGGUUCGCCCACGUAACGUGCUUAGGAUGCUGGCGUAAUGGCUUUAAGCGACCCGUCUUGAAACACGGACCAAGGAGUCUAACAUGCCUGCGAGUAUUUGGGUGGCAAACCCAUAUGCGCAAUGAAAGUGAACGGUUGGGACUUCUGUCAUGGAAGGCACCGACGCCCGGACCAGACCUAUUGUGACGGAUCCGAGGUAGAGCAUGUAUGUUGGGACCCGAAAGAUGGUGAACUAUGCCUGAGUAGGGUGAAGCCAGAGGAAACUCUGGUGGAGGCUCGUAGCGAUUCUGACGUGCAAAUCGAUCGUCGAACUUGGGUAU